rnacentral:lncRNA from 1 species
CUCGGAGCGCAGCACAGCCUGUCCCAUCGAGAAGCCUCGGGUGAGGGGCCCGGUGGGCGCCCGGAGGCCGCUGGAGGGCUGUGGGAGGGACGGUGGCUCCCCACUCCCGUGGCGAAGGGCAGGCAAACCAGAAGCCUCUUUUGAGAGCCGUUUGGGAUUGAGACGAGUAAGCCACAGCGAGUGGUUAGAAGUAGGUUAGGAAGAAGGGGAGGUAAGAAAGCCGAGUAGGGUUCUGGGCCGGAGCCGUUCACUGAGACAGGAACCCUGGGGGAGAUGCGCUGUCUCCCUGGCGUCUCGGUGCAAAUGCCCAGAGAGCGGCUGGAACCCCUCGAGGCUGGAGCACGGGGACGCCGGCCUGGGGUGUAGGUCUGGGAGCAGUCGGCCGUCAGGUUCCCAGAGACCGUGACAAAAGACAUCAUUCUACGCUGCACAAAAGCAGCCAGAGGCGGCCUCUCCCACGCUCCGGGAGCGAAGGGAAUGAUCUGGCUAGAGAGCAGCACUCCAGGGUGACUCCGUCCUGCUGUCUAACCGGCCUCCGGCAGAGUGGCAGAUCAUCUGACUCUCUGAACCACUCUGAACAUCAGUCUCUUCAUCUCUAAAUGAGGGUGCUGGCCGUGUGGAUCCGCAGGGGUAUCCUGAGGUUUGCCACGUACAAAAAGCUUAGGACAGUAAAUACUAAUAGGCUGGUGCAAAAUAAAUUGCGUUUUUGUCACUAAAAAAAAGUAGCAAAACCCGCAAUUAUUUUCCACCAACCUAAUAUUAAAUGUGAGUGACUGGGUCAACUUGAUGCAGCUUUCUGAUCCCUGCUCAACCUGCGACCAGCUUCUAGAAGGACAGGAGUGGCCUGUGGCCGUGGGUCUUAAGGGCAAGAGAACAACAGAGAGAUGUUUCUGGCCCCUCUUGUGUGAAAUGAAGACUUUUUAAUGUGAAUGUAGAAGUAAGUCUUGGGAGCAAAAACAAAAUCAGACCCUGGAGAAUGGCAGAAACUCCAAAGGAGUUGAAUGCUGGAGAACCCCAGGCGAAGUUAAAUCAACUCGACAGAAGAGCACAGACAUGUGACCGUGAUCUUGGACUUCUCAGCUUCUAGAAUGGCAGGUGGACAUGGACUCCAUGGAAGCCUGAGCUGCCAGGGGCUUCCCUGGGGCAGCACUGCUUCGCGUAGGCUCACGAGAAACUUCCAGGGUUCCUGGGGCCAGCCUUUCAACAGAGCAGCACAUUAUGCCUGGAUAAGACUCAAAGAGCAGCUUAAUAUCAGGUUCUCUGGGGCUGUAAUCAUCGGUUCAGGAUGGAGCAGACACAGCCGCAGCAAGGCCUCUGUGCAGCCCCCGGUUUAAAACACAUCAACGCAUCCGUGGGCACUUUUGUGAGUUAAAGCUCAACUUACACAUCUGCCUGUAUCCAUAGGAAAUGAAUGAAAAUAAACAAACAAAUUCCUUGCAUUCAACGCAGCGUAAGAAAAAUCACAUCCUGUUCCCCAGUAGCUGAGGAAAGCCGGCUCACGAGAGUAUACAGGGAGAAGAGGCCAGCAUUGUGUGGCUGCCAGCAAAGCUCACUUGUAUGUCAAAUGCAGCGCUUUUCUUAGCCCAUUAUGUAUUUUUUUUUUCUUGAACACUCCUGUGUCUACUGGGAUCUCCUGUUUUUAUUGUUUUGGGAUGAGAUUUUAAAAACACCAUUUAAUGUAG